rnacentral:rRNA from 1 species
UACGUAGGUGGCAAGCGUUGUCCGGAUUUACUGGGCGUAAAGAGCGCGCAGGCGGUCGUACAAGUCGCGUGUGAAAGCCCCCGGCUCAACUGGGGAGGGUCACGCGAUACUGUUCGACUCGAAGGCAGGAGAGGGAAGCAGAAUUCCCGGUGUAGUGGUGAAAUGCGUGAGAUAGUCGGGAGGAAUACCAGUGGCGAAGGCGGCUUCCUGGCCUGUUCUUGACGCUGAGGCGCGGAAAGCUAGGGUAGCAAACGGGG